rnacentral:misc_RNA from 1 species
UGGUGUGUUGUAAAUAUUUUCUAGCACACAAUAGAGACUCUGCAGUUUAUGUUAUCUUUAGUUUAUACUUAUAUGAAAAAAUUUCCAUAUGAAUUUAAAAAAAGCAUUUCUGACUGUUUAACAAUGGAAAAAGAAAAUAAACUUUGCAAGUAUUAUAUUCACAACAAUUGCAAGAAUGGAAAAGAAUGUUGCUUUGCACACGAUUUCAAAGCCAAAACUGAGAAUACAUGUAAGUUUUACUUGGCUGGUUCAUGUUUUUAUGGUAAUAAAUGUCGUUAUGACCAUGCAAAGCGGCUCUCAGUUUUGAAGCCUGCACGUGUUACUGCAGCUGUGUCCGCACCAACUACAUUAACAGUAUUAAAAGCAAAGAAAUUUGUUUCACCUGACUCAAAUAUGCCAGUUGAUGCACCAGUAUUUAUUCCAGGUAAUAAAGCCCAUAUUGGAAAAGUUGGUGAUUUUAGCACAGAUAUUUCUAAAGAUUUAAAGGUAGAUUGUUUGCAUCUAUCUUACUCUUCAAUUGUUUCAUUUAACCUUCAUUCUGAAAAUGAUAAUGGAACAUCUUAUAAAGGUGACAACAAAGAGUUACUAUGUCCUUUUGCUGCUGUGAGGGAAUGCCCUUUUGGAGAUAAAUGUGAAUACAUGCAUGGUGAUCUUUGCGAGAUGUGUGGGUUUCAGUGCUUGCAUCCAAAAGAUGAAAAUCAGCGUAAAGAGCAUGUAAAAUUUUGCGUUGCAAAACAUGAGUGCGAGAUGGAGAUAGCUUUUGCAGCUCAAAGAAGCCAAGAUGUGGCGUGCUGUAUAUGUCUGGAUAUUGUUAAGAAAAAAGCCUCUCCAAAUGAAUCUGUAUUUGGACUUUUAGAAAACUGCAAUCAUCCAUUCUGCUUAUCAUGCAUUCGUAAGUGGCGUUGUUCGUACAACCAACAACAAAGUGUAGUGAGGAGCUGUCCUAUAUGUAGAGUUACAUCUUGGUUUGUUAUUCCUUUUUUUAGAGUGAAUUUUGGAUUCAAGAUGAAAUAGAGAAAAAAGAAUUAAUUGGAAACUAUAAAGCCUAUCUAAGUACCAUAUCGUGCCGCAAUUUUGAUCAAGGAAGAGGAUGCUGUCAGUUUGGUACAAGUUGUUUUUAUAAACAUGCUCUACCUGAUGGAACUGUUGACAAAUCUAAACCAAAUAUUCGAUAUCGUGAAGAUGAUCAAGG